GACGAACCGAGCAAACGUUAUUCGGAAUCACUGGGCUUAAAGGGCGCGUAGGCGGGCAUUCAAGUCUGUGGUGAAAUCCGGCAGCUUAACUGUCGAAGAGCCGUGGAUACUGGGUGUCUCGAGGGAGGUAGGGGCGUGCGGAACUGAUGGUGGAGCGGUGAAAUGCGUUGAUAUCAUCAGGAACUCCGGUGGCGAAGGCGGCACGCUGGACCUCUUCUGACGCUGAGGCGCGAAAGCCAGGGGAGCAAACGGG
rnacentral:rRNA from 1 species